GACGAACGCUGGCGGCGUGCUUAACACAUGCAAGUCGAACGCUGAAGCUCAGCUUUUGUUGGGUGGAUGAGUGGCGAACGGGUGAGUAACACGUGAGUAACCUGCCCCCUUCUUUGGGAUAACGCCCGGAAACGGGUGCUAAUACUGGAUAUUCACUGGUCUUCGCAUGGGGAUUGGUGGAAAGGGUUUUUCUGGUGGGGGAUGGGCUCGCGGCCUAUCAGCUUGUUGGUGGGGUGAUGGCCUACCAAGGCUUUGACGGGUAGCCGGCCUGAGAGGGUGACCGGCCACAUUGGGACUGAGAUACGGCCCAGACUCCUACGGGAGGCAGCAGUGGGGAAUAUGGCACAAUGGGCGCAAGCCUGAUGCAGCGACGCCGCGUGAGGGAUGGAGGCCUUCGGGUUGUGAACCUCUUUCGCUCAUGGUCAAGCCGCAACAAUGGUUGUGGUGAGGGUAGUGGGUAAAGAAGCGCCGGCUAACUACGUG
rnacentral:rRNA from 1 species